CAGGUCUUGACAUACUCGUUCUAUUCCUAGAGAUAGGAAGUUCCUUCGGGACCCGGGAUACAGGUGGUGCAUGGUUGUUGUCAGCUCGUGUCGUGAGAUGUUGGGUUAAGUCCCGCAACGAGCGCAACCCCUAUUGUUAGUUGCCAUCAUUAAGUUGGGCACUCUAACGAGACUGCCGGUGAUAAACCGGAGGAAGGUGGGGAUGACGUCAAAUCAUCAUGCCCCUUAUGACCUGGGCUACACACGUGCUACAAUGGAUGGUACAACGAGUCGCGAGACAGCGAUGUCUAAGCUAAUCUCUUAAAGCCAAUCUCAGUUCGGAUUGUAGUCUGCAACUCGCCUACAUGAAGUCGGAAUCGCUAGUAAUCGCG
rnacentral:rRNA from 1 species